rnacentral:rRNA from 1 species
UACGUAGGGGGCUAGCGUUGUCCGGAUUUAUUGGGCGUAAAGAGCGUGUAGGCGGCCAGGUAGGUCUGGUGUGAAAACUCGAGGCUUAACCUCGAGAUGUCAUCGGAAACCAUCUGGCUAGAGUCCGGAAGAGGAGAGUGGGAAUUCCUGGUGUAACGGUGAAAUGACGCAGAUAUCAGGAAGAACACCCGUGGCGAAGGCGGCUCUCUGGGACGGUACUGACGCUGAGACGCGAAAGCGUGGGGAGCGAACAGG